rnacentral:rRNA from 1 species
GCCUGAGAAACGGCUACCACAUCCAAGGAAGGCAGCAGGCACGCAAAUUACCCAAUCCCAGCUCGGGGAGGUAGUGACGAAAAAUAACAAUGCGGGACUUUUCCGAGUNUGCGUAAUUGGAAUGAGCACACUUUAAAUCCUUUAGCAACAACCAAUUGGAGGGCAAGUCUGGUGCCAGCAGCCGCGGUAAUUCCAGCUCCAAUAGCGUAUAUUAAAGUUGUUGCGGUUAAAAAGCUCGUAGUCCGAGUUCAGUUCCGGACUGGCCGGGGAGGUCACCGCCCGGUGCUUCCCCGUCAGGCUCCGAACAGCUUUUAUGACUAAAAGCCAAGCCGGUUUUCGCCGGGGUGCUCUUCACCGAGUGUCCCGCGCGGCCGGCCAGUUGACCUUGAAUAAAUGAGAGUGCUCAAAGCAGGCUACUCUUAAAAAUAAAGCCCGAAUGUUACCUGCAUGGAAUGAUGGAAGAUGAUCUCGGUUCCAUUUUAUUGGUUCUGGGAGUCCGAGUUAAUGAUAAACAGGGACUGUCGGGGGCAUCCGUACUACGACGCGAGAGGUGAAAUUCAGUGACCGUCGUAGGACGAACAACAGCGAAAGCAUUUGCCAAGAAUGUCUUCGUUGAUCAAGAACGAAAGUUAGAGGAUCGAAGGCGAUCAGAUACCGCCCUAGUUCUAACCCUAAACGAUGCUGACUAGCAAUCCGCCGUCGUUAUUCCCAUGACGUGGCGGGACGCCCCCGGGAAACCUCAAGUCUUUGAGUUCCGGGGGUAGUAUGGUUGCAAAACUGAAACUUAAAGGAAUUGACGGAAGGGCACCACCAGGAGUGGAGCCUGCGGCUUAAUUUGACUCAACACGGGAAACCUCACCAGGCCCGGACACCAGAAGGAUUGACAGAUUAAGAGCUCUUUCUCGAUUUGGUGGGUGGUGGUGCAUGGCCGUUCUUAGUUGGUGGAGUGAUUUGUCUGGUUAAUUCCGGUAACGAACGAGACUCUGGCCUACUAAAUAGUCGACGUGGGUUUUGGUGCAUGGGCCCCGUUCGACAAUGUCUUCUUAGAGGGAUGAGCAGCGAGUAUAGCUGCAGGAGAUUGAGCAAUAACAGGUCUGUGAUGCCCUUAGAUGUCCUGGGCCGCACGCGCGCUACACUGAAUGGGUUAGCGGGUUCUCCUUCUCCGAGAGGAGAGGGAAAUCGCGUGAAAACCAUUCGUGAUAGGGAUUGGGGCUUGCAAUUGUUUCCCAUGAACGAGGAAUUCCCAGUAAGCGCAAGUCAUCAGCUUGCGUUGAUUAAGUCCCUGCCCUUUGUACACACCGCCCGUCGCUACUACCGAUUGAAUGAUUUAGUGAGGCCUUCGGACUGGCGGUCUUGGACUGGGCUCCACUCGCCAUCACUCCAGCAAUGGGGGGCGGUGGACUCGCCAUGACGAGCCGGAAAGAUGUCCAAACUUGAUCAUUUAGAGGAAGUAAAAGUCGUAACAAGGUUUCC